AAAAUGAAAAUGGUGCUCAAGCCAAUCCCUAGACCUCACAAUUCCACCAAGAUUUGGAGAAAUUUGCUGCCAGCUCCUAGCCCCAUGAUUGCAAUUUCUCCAAGCCAUCAUAGGGGUAGAGUGUAGUGUCCCACCAGCCUUCCUGGGUUACCAGGCUGUCCAAAUAUAUGUCUGAAUAACACUGUCAUUGAAUACCCCUCUUUCUGGGCAAAACCUGCGGAGAGCUAUGUGAUUGAGUCCUGAAUAACUUACUUCAUCUACAGGUAUUUUGAAAACGCCAUGUAUUGCACGAUCUCCUGUGAGAUCAAACUGCACAUUUUGCAGUUAUAAAGCUCUCGUGUCUCCUAGUUUGGAAAUGGAAAGAUAAUCUUCACUCAAGAUGUGUGGAGUGGGGGAAAAGUCUCAACUGAACCUUAAAGCCCUGACGUCAUUCCGCCCUUCAAAGUGCCGAGGCUCUUGUCAUUAUUUCUGCUUCUCCCACCACCAGCAGCACCCACACCACCAGGCUGGCCUCACGUGGUGCACAGCUCACUGUUUAACAUCCCGACUCCACUGGACGUGUAGUUUUACCCAAAAUGCCCCAGGGCAAGGCUAUGAUGGUUCAACAAGACAUAAGUAAAGGUUUGGGGCAGCCUAGGGAGACCCAUAGGGAGAAUCUGUCAUGAAGUUGCUUGAGUUCUUGGAAUUGAAUCUGCUUGAGUUCUUGGAAUUGUAGGUUUCGUUCCAUGCUAGUUUUUGACCUGUCUCUAUAACUGCAAAACAAGCUCAAAAUGGUCCUGUCCUGUUUGAUGAGAUACUGAGUUGAUUUUCAGAGAUCACAGACCAAAACUGCAAGUUAUGCAGCCCGGGCAUGCGUGGAAGAGAUGCGACUUCAGCUGCAUCCAAACCAAAGUCUCACCUCUGCCUCCAUGGAACCAAAGUAUCAAACACAACCAGAACUUGAACACCAGAACCUUUACAGAAGUGAAGGGUCCACUUCCAGGAAGAUCCAGUGCUGACGCCCUUUACCAUAAAUGGCUCAGCUCCAAGGUCCCCCAUCAGCACCUGCUCCCCUAAAUUCUUAUAAACCCCUAACCUAGUGCAGCGAGCAAGAAGGAUUUGAGGCACCAUUAAGUCUCCCAUCUUCUGGGUGGCCAACUUCUCUAUCAAUAAAUGUGUCUUUACUGCAAACUCUGACUUUUCUUCGAGCACACCAACUGAGAGAUCUUCUGUUUCACCCAGGUGUCCAAAGUGUAGGCAUUCUGAUGCCUCAAACUUAAGACAUCCGAACUGAGGAGGAUGAACUGCGGAGAACAGUUGCUUAACCUGCCCUGGGAGACUUGAAUGAGUUUGCUCCAGGAAGUGUCCAGAACUAAGAACUGGAAGAAAAGAAGGAGGAGAGAUACCAGAAGUGGCCAGGAGAAAGGGAAAUGGCAAAUGGCUUCACACAUGUAUGGAAACCCUGUUGGUAUCUCGGUCUACAAAUAAAUUCAUUGUCUUGAACGCA